ACGUCGUGAUGAGUGGACUUGAGGAGACUCAAGUAUCUCUGACAUCUUCAGUAGAUUAUGAUGAGAUCUUGAACACAGCGGCCUUUCAUCCACAUGAGGGGAAACUACAUCAGAGUUUGAGUUUCGCCGGGUAUUAUGCAGCGGAAAUCAUAAUACAACUCAACCUAUGAACACACACUUCACCAGAUUUGCCUCCAAGGCCAUACCAGGUUUGAAUGUGAUUUAGUACUGGCACAGCUGUCCCAC
rnacentral:lncRNA from 1 species